UUGGAAGAGUCGAAAGUUGGUGGUGAGAGAACAGAAUUUGCUUGGAACCAUCAAAAAUGGGUUGAAAGUGACAAAAAUGGGUUGGAAGAGACAAAAAAUGGGUUGGAAGUGACAAAAAAUGGGUUGGAAGAGACAAAAAAUGGGUUGGAAGAGUCGAAAGUUGGUGGUGAGAGAACAGAAUUUGCUUGGAACCAUCAAAAAUGGGUUGAAAGUGACAAAAAUGGGUUGGAAGAGAAAAAAAUGGGUUGAAAGAGACAAAAAUGGAUUGGAAGAGACAAAAAAAUGGUUGGAAGUGACAAAAGUUGGUGGUGAGAACACGGAAUUGUCUUGGAAACAUCAAAA